CCUAGGGGACCAAUCCGAGGCAGCAUCACCUCAGGGGAGGACUCUGAGAGCCCUCCCCACCUAUGCCAGUGAAGACCGAUGUGAGAAGGCGGUGGGCUCUGCCGGCAGCCAGGCCAGGCUUCGACAUGGCGCACGUGGGGCCUGCCCCAGGCCGAGCAGCCCCCGGCCCAGGGCCUCUCUUCCCCCCUUCCACACCUCCCCCCUCUCUCCCCUCCGCCAUGUUCUGGAACCCCCAUCUCCAUGGGAGCCACCGCCUCACAGAGAGUCAGUAUCCCAUGGCCGGGCCACUAGACAGCAGCCAUGGACCACCAGGCUUCUCACCACCAUCACCACUGGCAUCCGACUGGCGGUGACGAGGAUGUGACGACACCAAGGGGCUGUACCUGCAGAGCCUGGGCCGCUGCCGGCAGUGAGCGCUGAUGGCCUCCAUCCUGUCUCCCCCCUCUCACGGCUACCGCAAGCUGGUGACUGCCCAGCAGCACCUCUUCCUCCUGGAUUACAGCAGGACCCUAGCACAUCUUCCGCAUCAGCUUCCCUGCCUCCAUCUGCUUCCGACAGGUGGUCGUCACCAGCCCGGAGGUGAUGUGGAUCCUUCUGCUGCUCAGAGGUCCCCCACUGGGUCAGCGGCCUCAGCACCUCCUGCCGUUGCCUCUUCCUCCGCUGCGG